CCGAAUGCAAGCUCUUUGAGGAGCUGAUAGAGGCAGUGCGCGCUUGAUAAUGCACAGCCGUGCACACCGUGCACAGCCGUGCACACUAGUGCAUCUCCAGCUAAUCAGAAGCGCGCAGUUGCAUAAAGGAAAGCGGUUGCCAAGGCAGCCACCGAUCUCCCCUCCCCCUUUCUCCGGUCGUUCCUCUUUUCAGUUUAUUAUCGGCAGAGGUCGCAUGGCAUAAGGGAAGAGCACACGAACCACUUCUGUCCUGGAACCAAUGCACGAAUAUGCACCUCCAUAACAAAGCCUAUGGAGUACUGAGAGCAGUGGAAGAGCAACAGAGGCUGUGAAUGUGCGGCGUUGCGUUCAACCUUUUAAAAAAACGACAUUAAGAGGGAAUCAAAGUUCAAUGUUUUGCUUGUUUGGUCCUGGAACAACGGAAUAAUUUUACAAAACACGUGCAUGUCCAUGUAGUUUUGCGACCGCUCUCGCUCCGCAAACAGCGCUCCAACAAACGGUUCCCAUCCCGAAAGUGGUAGUGGUGCAGGGGCUCCGAGGAGAACUGCGCAGCAUCUCCAGAGUUGGUGCCGAACUUCGGCCGCGGACGGAUGUGAAGGGAAAGUGUGCCGAUCAAAACUCAACCCACUUUUGCUUAUUUCUGCUCUCCCUCGCUGGCCUUUUUUUUUCGUUUCAAAGGUUCAACCGCAGAGAGUCCAAGACACUGCCACUGAUUUCAUGCCUUCAGUCUUGUGCAUCCUGAAAUGGACGUGAGAUUUUAUCCUGCACACCCUGGAAGUGUGGGUUCAUGCUCUUUACCCGCUGACCCGAGUUGUCUCAGCUCCUUGGACUAUUAUCACGCCAACAAGUUUUUCAUAGAACAAAACUGCCCGCAAGCGCCCAGGCUGAUGUUUGAGUUACAUGCUGCCGGAAUACCAGGGACGGUAUGGAUCUAUACCGCCCUUUCUGCCUGUGCUCUCACACUCUCAUGUCUCAUAGCCAGCACGGUGCCCCAUGCUAGAGUUCACUGAUGAAAUGGAUCCGUGCCAAUAAUGUACUGAUAAUGAGUCGGUAACGAGAGGAACCCAACGCGCAGAGGGAGGACUGGUAGCUAGGCAGGCGUCACUCCUCUGUUCUCCUAUUCUUUGCUAUUUUCUUUUGACACAUGGAGGCUGGCUGGCCGCGGGGUUUAGGGACCUGUUCGUGUUCUGAUGCUUUCCCCAGUGCGCAGGUGGCCACCCAGAGAGUGUUAGCUAAUGGUAUCGAUUGCUGUUAUCGUAUACUUUACGGAAUAUAAGCAAGGGAAAUGUUAUGUAAAACACGGAGACGCGCUUGUUGGCGCCGAAGUCAAGUCCGCGCUAAAACAACAUAUUCAAUGGAGAGGUUUGGAUUUGGUCGUUACUGACCUGAUUGGUAAUGGAAAGCCAAGUUCGUAUCUUAGCCUUUUAACAUUAGAUUUGGCUCUAAUAUUAUUGUUCAAUGUUAGAAAAGCUUUGUAACUGAAUAGAAGCAAUUGAACAUCUUUCUUUGUGGGGCACCUUUAAUACGUUUACCCCUAAUACAAAUUGAAAGCAUAAAAACCACAAUCAAUACACAGUCACUGAGCAAUAUAGCAGAUGGAAUAUGUCUAUUCAUGCACACACACACACACACACACACACACACACACACACACACACACACACACACACACACACACACACACACACACACACACACACACACACACACACACACACACACACACACACACACACACACACACACACACACCUA